rnacentral:ncRNA from 2 species
ACCGCCACAGCGGGAGAGACCAGGGCCCGCGAGCCCUGGCGCCGAAGGAGCAACCACCCCGGAAACUCUCAGGCAGCCCAGACCGCUGAGGCGCA